GACGUAGGGCGCGAGCGUUGUCCGGAAUUAUUGGGCGUAAAGGGCUCGUAGGCGGUCUGUUGCGUCGGGAGUGAAAACUCAGGGCUUAACCCUGAGCUUGCAGUGGGUACGGGCAGACUAGAGUGCGGUAGGGGAGACUGGAAUUCCUGGUGUAGCGGUGAAAUGCGCAGAUAUCAGGAGGAACACCGGUGGCGAAGGCGGGUCUCUGGGCAGUAACUGACGCUGAGGAGCGAAAGCGUGGGGAGCGAACAGG
rnacentral:rRNA from 1 species